AACAUCCAUCAGUGGAUUUGGUAGCAAAUGUUGGCAGGAAGGUUUGGGGUACCAGAGACUAGAGCCAUGAGGCAUUUUACUCCAAACUGUACUCCCUUUUAUCUGCCUGCUGAUGGAAGACUUAUUUUUGUCUUUGAAAAGUGUGACAGAAGGUCAGAGCGUAACUGCAUUUUUGCUUCACUUGGGUUAAAACAAGCCACAUUCAGCAGGACCAUGUGCAUCCCUGUAGGACAAGCUGUAAUGAAAAUGAAGGCAGUCCAGAAAACAAGUACAUGCCAGAUGCUUUGCACUGUGGUUUGUGUCCCAGAGAAGAUGCCCUAGAGCACAGAUAAAACCUGUGUGCUGUACUCAAAAUUGUGCCUACACUUAAUGCAUUAACAGGGCUUUCACUUCUCUGUUGGGAGGCUGCUGAGAACAAAGUUUUCCAGCUACAGGGGAGCUCUAGCACCCCUUGUGGCUCAUAGGCCAUGAGAACGACAGAUGGAUUUAUUUUGAAACUAGAAUGGGUAUAUAUGGCUCAAAUUAAUAAGCCUAACCAUGUAGGCCAGCAAGCUGCCUUUAUUCAUUCCCAGGUUGCAUUUUAACUGUCCAGAUCUUCUGGGAAUGGACUUUUGGUUUGGAAACAUGUGAAGGUAGUUUUUGGUAAUCAUCCCUUGGCCUUUAAAUUCACUGAACACAGGCCAGGUGCUGCCUGUUCUUUGCUGAGGUGUGGAUGGAGGCAGCUGUAGGAACCUGGAGGUGCAGAUAGGCAGAUGAGCCCUUCCCAGUGUUGCUGGGUUGCAACUUCCUUAUGCACCUUCCUUCCUGAAGUACAUGUCACUCCUUGUGCUGAAUCUAGAAGACAAGGGGAGCAGAAGUAAGUCUACAGUCCUCAAAGAAAUUGGCAAAUACCGCCUGGAGCAUCUGGGACUCAGACUUCAUCCUGGGGCACACAGAAGCACCUCUGAGAUCUGGCACCAUUUGAGGUUGUUGGCCAUGCAGACCAUGAAGGACCCAGCACAGGUUUGGUGCUAUCCCAGGCCUGGUGUCUCUGUGUGAAUCACCUCUGUUCACCCCGCCUGUAUGGGUAAGCUGCUCUGUCUUCCAGAAACAGGAUAGCCACGGAAAAAUAGACUGGGGUGCCUUCUGGUUUAUGGACUAGCACCAGACUUGCCUGUGUAAUUACAAGACCUUUAUUACUAGGCAAAGCAGAAAAGGCUUUGCCUGGCACUCAGAUCAUAGGCUGGACUUGCAGAGGUGGCAGUUAAAAAAUAGUAAUCUUUCGACUUGAAAACUGAGCCUAUUUCAUAUGGAGGGAAACAAACAAAAAAACAACAACAAAAAAGCCAACAACACCAACAAACCAACUGAAAAACAAAUUACAGAGUUCCUGUAACGCUAACCAUGCUCUGGGGAGCUAAAUACGUCUCUCUCAAACAUUCAAAGCAUCUAAUUAGCAAAGCCAGGCAGUCACUAAGGAGACCACCAGCCAUCUCUGAGCAAGACACGUGCGUCUUGCUGACAGUGUUGGCAAGGUCACCCCUUCCCCAUCUUCCCACCCCCCACCUCCAGACCCGACGUAGUGGGGAGCAUCUGCCAUCCAUUUCCCCCUGCCAGGGAGUGACAGGAAAGGUUCACCGGGAAGAUGAGAAGCAUGACUGAUGGCAGCAGAGCCUUGCUGAAUUAUUGCCUCUUGCGUGGGGAGCAGAGAUUUGCUUUGGGGAUGCUGGAUUGUAAAUCAUCCAUCUCCUUCUUUUAAAGGUGAACUGAAGAGCUUUGCGUGCAAGAGGGAAUUAACCAAUUAUUUCAGAGGGCAGGAUAGUAUUUGUAAGCUUCAAGCUCAGAUAUGUUUACAUAUUGAAAAUGAGAAGUGAAAAUCACUUCUUUGGUAGAGAAGAAAUAAAGCAAGCUUCAUUUUU